GACGAACGCUGACGGCGUGCUUAACACAUGCAAGUCGAAGGGAGUGGCGAACGGGUGAGUAACACGUGAGUAACCUGCUCUUUUCUUUGGGAUAAGCCUGGGAAACUGGGUCUAAUACUGGAUGGAUUGGGCUGGGCUCGCGGCUUAUCAGCUUGUUGGUGGGGUGAUGGCUUACCAAGGCUUUGACGGGUAGCCGGCCUGAGAGGGUGGGCGGGCACAGUGGGACGGAGAUACGGCCAAGAGUCCUAAGGGGGGAAGCAGUGGGGGAUAUUGCGCAAUGGACGAAAGUCUGAUGCAGCGAGGUCGUGUGGGGGAUGAGGGUCUUCGGGUUGUAAACUCCUUUCGCCCGCGGAAUGGUAGUGGGUAAAGAAGCGCCGGCUAACUACGUGCCAGCAGCCGCGGUAAUUC
rnacentral:rRNA from 1 species